rnacentral:rRNA from 1 species
CGGCCGCGGUAUCCUGACCGUGCAAAGGUAGCAUAAUCACUUGUUCCCUAAUUAGGGACUAGAAUGAAUGGCCAAACGAGGAUUCAACUGUCUCUUAUUUUUUAUCAGUGAAAUUGACCUUUCAGUGAAGAGGCUGAAAUACUAAAAUAAGACGAGAAGACCCUAUGGAGCUUAAAUUAAAAGUUUAAUUUUACUCUUAUUAACCUAAUGGUUUAACACAAAAAUUUUAAACUCUAAAUUUCGGUUGGGGUGACCUCGGAGAACAAAAAAUCCUCCGAAUGAUUUUAACAUAGACCAACAAGUCAAAGUAACCCAAAGAUCUUAUUGACCCAAAAAUUUUUGAUCAACGGACCAAGUUACCCUAGGGAUAACAGCGCAAUCCUAUUUUAGAGUCCAUAUCGACAAUAGGGUUUACGACCUCGAUGUUGGAUCAGGACAUCCCAAUGGCGCA